ensembl:snoRNA
AUCUUUUUGUAGUUCAUGAGCACGAUGAUUGGGUGCUCACAUACAUACACGAGACGUGUCACCCUCAAACCUUGUGGCGAUGGAAUAUUACCUGUCUGACA